CGGCUCUCUUUCGUCGUUCGAUGACGAAGUAUGGACGCUGUUCCACCGGAGACGCGGUGCAAGAGGACGUCUAUAAGGUGGGGAAGUUAUCAGAGUAUUGCGGAACGGUAGGCGAAAAAUGUUUGAGAAUGCAGAAGCUCUUUCGUUGACAAUGGACUGAGCCUCUUUUGAAAGCUGUCGCAAACACCAUUGUAGUUAAUAUACUUUUGCGCGCAUAACAUUAGUGAAUGUGUACUUUAGAUAUGUUAGAGUUAUUUAUUAUCAGGUUAAUGACUUAAAAUGUUCAUUCGAUGACUAUCCACAAUAAUAAAAUGGUCUUGAACGUCAAUGAUACAGUCUCGAACACCGUUGACUCUCAAAUUAUCUUAAGUUAUCCACAAAUUUUCUCUAUUAUA